AACCAUAGAAACCUGCGGAGUACCUGCGGAAGGAUCAUUACACAAUAAACAUAUGAAGGCUGCACCGCCAACAGGCGGCAAGGCUGGAGUAUUUUAUUACCCUUGUCUUUUGCGCACUUGUUGUUUCCUGGGCGGGUUCGCCCGCCUCCAGGACCACAUGAUAAACCUUUUUUAUGCAGUUGCAAUCAGCGUCAGUACAACAAAUGUAAAUCAUUUACAACUUUUAACAAUGGAUCUCAG
rnacentral:misc_RNA from 1 species